AAAUCUUCCAAGUGAACCAAGUUCUGAAUUCUGCUCUAUUGGCCCACAGAAGGUACUGGGGAGGCCACCCUGCUGUUGAACUACUCCACUUAACCUCUUCAAGUAUAGCCUAAAUUUCUGAUUUUCCUGCAGAUGGCUUGCCACAUUUUCUCUUGUCAAACCAGGAACAUUCAUCAGUUCAAGGAUUCUCUUAGGUACAGCCUUAUCAAUGCCAAGUUGGUUGACUGCACUAACAAAUUGCUGAUGGAGCUCCACUGACCAGACCACACGUGGCUUUUUGGUAGUACUUGGGUCAU
rnacentral:misc_RNA from 1 species